CGGAGCAGUGCCUGUCGGGACAUGUAGUUUCCCCGUCGCCUUGGGGGAGUUAACUGUUCGAGUGCAGGCCUCGGCGCAGGGCCCUCCGCGGCCUGGAGCUAUGGGACCAAGGCCCCGGGAGGGAAGUCACUUACCAGAGUCUGUGGGUUCUUCAUCCAGAGCUCAAGUCGUCUGACUCUUGGGAACAGCGAGACCUGACCUUUCAGUUCCUCCUUCAUGUGCUUGUCUGGGGUGCCCGCGCUGACCAGGGGUGACUUCUCGUUGGCCCAGCAUGAACUGGAAGGUCCUUGAACGCGUGCCCCUGCUGCUGUAUAUCUUGGCAGCAAAAACCUUAAUUCUCUGUCUGGCAUUUGCUGGCGUCAAAAUCUACCAACGGAAAAGAUUAGAAGCAAAACUAGAAGCUGAAAAGAAGAAGCAGUCAGAGAAGAAAGAUAACUAGAGGGGAAAAUUAGAGAGCUAAAGAUGUUGCAUAACUGUGCAAUUGAGAUUCCCUUAAAUGACCAUGUGGAUGAGAUGAUUUAUCAGGUCCUUCACUCAGUUGGUGAGCAGGAUGUUGCUGGCCAACCGGAAGAGGAAAACCACUCCGUAGAUGCCAAUGAUGGUGAGAAUGUACCAGGCGGCGCUGGUCCCAUCUGGAAGCUUCAAGGCCCUGGUGGAGUUGGUGCCAUUCUUCCCCUCCAUGUGGUCCCUCAGCAGGUGGCCUAGGAGAGCCAGUGCAAACAGAAUGAAAGCCACAGAAGUAGUACAUGAAACGGCGAGACAUUUUCUAAUUGAACUUCACCAGCUCAAAUCCCCGUUUCUUGCCCUGUGUGAACACAGGCGUCUUCAGAUGUGCCAGAAGAUAAAUCCCACAGCCUCCUGGCUAGACUAGAGCCGCUCCACAAAUGCUUUCUAUUUGAUACUUGUUUGUUGCUAUUUCGUUUUGCUAAUUCAAGAUUCAGAGAGGCUGGUAUUGUUUCACUGCAGUUCAUCUUCAGAACAAGUGAAUAAUCUUACUACUUUUUGAAGAAGGGACAAACUGUUUAAAAGUAACUCUACAAAGUUAUUAAUUAUAUAAAAUCGGCCACUCACAGAAAACAAUACAAUGAUCAGAAAUUUUAUACCAUGGUUGGUGGACAGGCUUGAGAACCCAAAGUUUGGAAGGGGGAAGAUUCCCAUAAUUAUUUUUAAAAAAGUAAACAAAAAAGAAAACAAAAACAGAAACAAAAAGUCAACCCAACAGGAAUGUCAUAAACCUCAAUUAGAGCCAAAGAACUUAUUGGAACUUUGAACAUAUGUAUGGGCUCAGGGCUUUCCUGUGAGCUAGAGAUGGAUGUGAUAUGUUCAAAUACAUAGAAAGUAUACCCCACCAAGAACUUUAAAUUAUUUUAAAACUAGUCCAUUUCCACAUGAAGGAAACUCACUACCUUAAUUAUUGCAGUCCAUUGUUCUUCACUUUUCUUUAAAAAAAAAAAAAGAUUAAACUGGUUGUAUCUUAAUGGAUAAACAUAUCCGGUAGAAAGACAAACCUCCUCUGUGCCAUUUUGCACUUACAAUUUCAUGCUGUGAAACAGAGCAGUCAUUCUAGAACAGCCCAUCUGUGCUUUAAAGCAGAAUACUCACGUUCCACGGGAUGGUCUCCUUGAUUCUUGGGAAGACGAGUUUAAGAGGUGGCCAUGGAAAGAGAAGACAGAAGAACUCUUCCCUGUAAGAUCCUACUGACGUCUGGCGCCUGGAGGCCCCUGAGCAGGGAGUAACAUGAUACCUGGAGAAUUUUAGGGCAAUACCAAGUAGAAGCUUAGCAGAGAACUCAUUGUCUCUCCUUCAGUUAAUCAAGAGAUCAAAAUCUAUCUGUCUUCUGUUGGCUCUAAACACAAAGUACUUCCUGGCUUAAGCUUGUUGAGAGGUCUAAUGCAAAGGCAUUUUUAAAAACAUCCUGGUACCAAGGAGUCUCUGGCUCUUCCUGAGGCUGGCUCGCCAGCUUACAGCCUGGACGGUUCCUGAAUUCCCCUGCUCUGCACCUGCCGCAGGCGUCACAGACGGUCAGGUGUGGCAGAGGCCUGUUGUCACAGGGUCAGAAAACUCCAUGGUCAAGAGUCACCGACUUCCUCUUGGACUGUCUCCUGGAUGAGGAAACCCAGACAGGAAGGCACAGGCAUGGGAUGGGGGGGACACAGUGGAGGGGCCUGGGUUCCCCAGGGAUCAGUGGGCAGUGAGGUGAUAAGUGCUUCCUGUGAGGAGUGGUGCUUCCUUUUCCCACAGCCUUGAGUCACAGCCCACACCAGAAUUGGAGUAAAUUUAACCAAAAAGUGCUAGAAUAGUAAGAGUCUGGGAGGAAAGAAAAGCAGGGAGCCACCAUGCCCAGCCCUACUCCUGAAUCCUCACUGAUAAGACCAGCACCUGUUAGACAUGUAAGGUUGCUGGCUUUUAAGAUGUCAUUUGGUCAAAUGUCCAUCAGUAGGGGACUAGACAAGCAAAUUCUAGAACAGACCAUAGGACCCAGCAAUUCCACUCUUAGGUCUGUGUCUAGGAGAGGUGGGAGCAUACACCAGACAAAGACUUGCAUAUGGAUGCUCGUAAUAGCUGAAAAGUGGGAACAGUCCAAAGUCUAUCCACUGAUGACUGGGGGCAUACGAUGUGGUCUCUCCGUACAAUGGAAUAUUAUUUGACAAUAAAAAGGGCUGAAGUACGGACACGCGUUGUAACAUGGAUGGACCUUGAAAACAUUAUGUCAAGUGGAAGGCUCCAGUUACAAAGAACAAGACAUUGUAUGGUUCUGUGUGUAUGAAAUGUCCAGAAGAGACUGAUCUAUAAGGACAGAAAGUAGAUUAGUGGUUUCCUAGGGCUGGGGUGGGGGGUGUGGGAUGGUAACUGUGGGGUGCAGGGUUUCUUUUAGGGAUGCUAAAGGAUUCCAACCUGAUUGUGGCGCUGGUUGCACACCUCUUCUGUGAAUAUUCUAGAAACCACUGAAUUGUACCCUGUGAGUGGAUGACCCUUAAGGGAUAUGAAUUCAAUUUCAAUAACAUAACAUAGUACAACGGAAUAUUCUGCAACUGUGACAAGGAAAUGCGGAAGCUCUUUGUGUACUGGUGUGUAAAGUCUCCAACGUGUGUUGUUGAAUGAAAACAGCAAAGAAGAGAGUAUGUUCACUCUCUGUAAAAAAGUAGGGGGGGCAUCAUAUAGAUCUCGUUUGCUUGUUUUGGCAUUGAAAAGCUUUAAGGAUGGCUGGAGACGUAAGAACGGGAGUUAUCUAGAGAAGAGAAUUGGGUCGAUGAGGGCAGGAGUGGGGGUAGAAUUCUCAGUGUAUAUUUUUUAAUGGAUAUAAAGAAAUUUAACUGUGUCUGUGUGCUCUCUUUUCAGUAACAAAUGCAUCUAUUACUUAAAGUAAAACUUCGUGGACUUUC